GUACAGACAAUAUCAUGUUACAUCUCCAUAGCAUGUACCUUUGUCUACAUGCACUGGAGGGUCAUUUCUGUGUCUGCAUGGGCUAAAGGCUCAUUUCCUUAGCACCCAGGUACAACACUGAGGUAUGAAAGAAAAAUAAGUACAGAUUCUUACUGUUCUAUGGAUGAGGCAGAAUAAAAAGUUGGUUAAUCUGUCAAUAUAUUGGAUCACUAGAGGUCUUUGGGAAUGGCAUUGGGCAAAACUAAAUGCACUAUAAUGACCAUGUGCAUGUAUCCUUGGCUGUAUGUCCAAGUGGAAUUCUGACACAAAUAAAAGAUGGGCCCCACAUAUGUCCCAAACCUGUGCCACAACAAAUGCCAAAUUAUAGUUCCUUGUAGGUCAAGGGAAGAAUCAGAAUGUUGUACAUCUGUUUAGAUUUUGUAUGGCUGCAUAUAUAAUCUUUAGAUUAAAAUUAAAAUACAUGUAAUAUUUCUAUUAUUUUUGUGAACUAAUACAAUUAAAAUACAGUUAAUUUUCAGCUUAAAAUAAAAUAUUGCUGUGCACUGGCUUUCUAUUUGGAUUCUUUGUAGGUCAACAAAUAUCAAACAAAAUAUAUUUAUGUAUGUACUGGAUUUGUAAGCUACCAAAUCCAUUGAGAUUCAUUCUGAAAAAAGUCAGGUGCUAUGGUAUAUUCAUUCCUUUUCUAGCUCAAACAGCAGUAACUUUUUUGAAAAUAGCAAGCACCAGUUUUGGCCAAGGUCCUUGUAGAAGUUGUUGGAGUUUUGUUUGUUUGUUUCCUUCAGGCAGUGAUUCAUAAAGCAAGUAUAUAAACAAACAUGAAAAUAAACUGAUCCUAAAUAUUUUAGGAAUAUUUUUUGUUGCUUGCUUUAUGCAUAUUAAUCAGAGAAAAGGGGGUAUGCUAAAUAUAUUAUAAUAAAUAUUCAUAGCCA